UACGUAGGGUGCAAGCGUUGUUCGGAAUUACUGGGCGUAAAAGGGCGCGUAGGCGGCCUUUCUAAGUCGAACGUGAAAUCCCCGGGCUCAACCCGGGAACUGCGUCCGAUACUGGAAGGCUUGAAUCCGGGAGAGGGGAUGUGGAAUUCCAGGUGUAGCGGUGAAAUGCGUAGAUAUCUGGAGGAACACCGGUGGCGAAGGCGACAUCCUGGACCGGUAUUGACGCUGAGGCGCGAAAGCCAGGGGAGCAACGGGGAUAAGAACCGAG
rnacentral:rRNA from 1 species